rnacentral:rRNA from 1 species
GGGGAUACUGCCAGGCUGGAACCGGGAGAGGUAAGAGGUACUACCAGGGGUAGGAGUGAAAUUUUGUAAUCCUGUGGGACCACCUGUGGCGAAGGCGUCUUACCAGAACGGGUUCGACGGUGAGGGACGAAGGCUGGGGGCACGAACCGGAUUAGAUACCCGGGUAGUCCCAGCCGUAAACGAUGCUCGCUAGGUGUCAGGCAUGGCGCGACCGUGUCUGGUGCCGCAGGGAAGCCGUGAAGCGAGCCACCUGGGAAGUACGGCCGCAAGGCUGAAACUUAAAGGAAUUGCGGGGGAGCAC